UACGAAGGGGGCUAGCGUUGCUCGGAAUCACUGGGCGUAAAGGGCGCGUAGGCGGUCCUUCAAGUCAGGCGUGAAAGCCCCGGGCUCAACCUGGGAACCGCGCUUGAGACUGGCGGGCUAGAGUUCGGGAGAGGAUGGUGGAAUUCCCAGUGUAGAGGUGAAAUUCGUAGAUAUUGGGAAGAACACCGAUGGCGAAGGCAGCCAUCUGGACCGACACUGACGCUGAGGCGCGAAAGCGUGGGGAGCAAACAGG
rnacentral:rRNA from 1 species